AAAUUAGGAAAAAUCAAAAAGUAUAAAAAUGAACAUUUACCGUAUUCGAAAAUCGCACCUCCAUUCAUUAGAAGUAGAGCUCGCAAUUUAUAAUAUAUAUUAUUUCGAACCCAUUUGUUGUUGUUGCGGUUCGGCUAACGAGCUACAAGUUAGCAUAUUGCCUUAUUUCUCAGAUUGUGAAAGGAAAAAACAAUAACAACCCAUUUUAAUAUUGACACAUUUUUGUUUUUGCAAUGUAAAAUAUAACAUUUGCUUAAGAUAUUGCACAUUUCAUUUAAUUUUAGAAUUGCGGAAUGCGCGCGCGAACGCCACAAUAAGAAAAACAAUAAUGCAACUGCAGCGACGUUUGUUGACCAAGUCUACAUUAUUGUAUGUAUGUAUAUAGUAUGAUCUAUUGCUGAUCUGGACAGCUAUAGUAUAGCCCUAUAAUUGGUACAGUCUGGGAAUUGUACUGCCUUCUCCAAGUUGAUCAUGGAUUGAGAGAACUUGCCACGAUGCGUUUCAAUUGUGGGUAAAUGCAUAAAAAUAUUUGAAAAAAAAAAAUAAAAGCUAAGACCCACUGCAAAGGUGCGAUGCACAUCAUGCAAUUGAGCCAGACUUUGAUAUAUGAAGUCCAAAUUGUUAGAAGUACUAAUCUAUCUUACUUUUUCGCACUGUUUUAACAAAUUGACCCACCCUUAACAUACGGAAGACUUACUUUAUUAUUGUGCAGUUCCUAACUAUAGAGAGUUAGGAAAGAAAUAGAAUACAAAGUGAUUUCUGUUAUAAGAAAUAAGGUAUUUUUACGAACGAUUCGAACUUUUUCUUAUUUAUGUACAUUUCUAAUGG